AAAGCUUUAAGUUAUCUAAACUAUUAACCUUCAAAGUUAAAAAUAAAUUAUAUUUAAGCUUUA
rnacentral:tRNA from 1 species